rnacentral:tRNA from 1 species
UUAAUAGAAGCCAAAAUAGAGGCAAUUUAUUGUUAAUAAAUAUAUUGAUAAAUUAUCCUAUUAAA